GACGAACGCUGGCGGCGUGCUUAACACAUGCAAGUCGAACGGAAAGGCCUGCUUUCCCUUGUGGAUUGCGGGUACUCGAGUGGCGAACGGGUGAGUAACACGUGAGUGAUCUGCCCCCAACUUGGGUAUAAGCCUGGGAAACUGGGUCUAAUUCCCGAUAGGACUGCAGGGUGGUGCCUGUGGUGGAAAACGAUUUUCUAGUGGUUGGGGAUGAGCUCGCGGCCUAUCAGCUUGUUGGUGGGGUAAUGGCCGACCAAGGCGGCGACGGGUAGCCGGCCUGAGAGGGUGGACGGCCACAUUGGGCCUGAGAUACGGCCCAGACUCCGACGGGAGGCAGCAGUGGGGAAUAUGGCACAAUGGGCGGAAGCCUGAUGCAGCGACGCCGCGUGGGGGAUGACGGCCUUCGGGUUGUAAACUCCUUUCGACCGCGAGGAAGCCACCUGGUUGGAAGGGUGGUGACGGUAGUGGUAGAAGAAGCACCGGCUAACUACGUG
rnacentral:rRNA from 1 species